CUAUAAUGUGAAGAAAAAUAAAAAGGAUAAUAAUGUUAACACAUCUUACAACUUACUGAAAUUUCAGAUGACUCAGAAUGUGACAAGAAGUCUAUAAAAAGUCUCCCAAAUAUAUAAGAUUGGUAAACAUAACGCUAUUUUCAGAAACAUAGAUAGAUCAAAUAGAAAUCUCAAUAAUUUCUAAUGAAUAUAUCUUUAUCAUUAUAAAAAAAAAAAAUUAUUAUUAUUCCACUAUUUAAUUAUUUUGAUAUUUUCUUUCUAUUUUUGGGGUCUAAACUUUUAGUAUAUAAUUAAUGUAAUCAUUUUAAUAAUCUAUUUCAUAUAAUUAAAUAUUAUUAAUGAAGUAUAAUUUUAAUACGUACGCGGUAAGUCCGUAGAACAGGUUGGCAACAGUAAUAGGGUUGACGUGGCUAUAGUCACUUAAAAAGAAAACAAGAUUGUAAAUCUAGCAUCCACAAUCCAGAAAACAAUACAUUUCUGUUGAUUGUCCUUUUGUUGCGGCGGAAUAUAAUCGACAAAUGGAUGGUGUCGACCUAUUAGAUUGUGUUAUGAGCCAUUACAAAAUCAAACUCCGUAGUAAACGUUGGUAUCUACGAAUUUUUUAUCAUUUCUUAUAUUUGGCUAUCUGUAACGCAUGACUUCUGUACCGCAGAAUAUUGGCUGAAAAGGCUGGUACCAGCAAAACUCUUAAGUCUGUUGAUUUAAGAGUAGCUGUAGCAGAAACGUUAUGCAAAUAUAAAGCAAUCAUCCGUACCGAAGGUUCAUACAAGAGAAAAAGAAGAAAGGUCACUUAAGGAAGCUUAACAUGUUCCUCAAAGGUUAGACCAAUACGGUCACUAGCCUGCUAGCCUGCUUGGGUAAAUACACAAAUGAGGUCCAAAUUUCAAGUCUGCACAGGGUAUACUCAAACAGUUUGCGAAAAAUGUGGGGUUGAUUUGUGUUACAAUAAGCAAAAUAACUGUUUUCAAAAUUUUCAUAUUUCUUAACUUUCUUUGGUAUUUUUCAGUAUUAUUGAUUUAGUUAUACCCUUUUUGCCAUCAAGUAUUUGUGAAAAUAACGAAAAUAAUGAUCUUGCGCCAUAAAGGGUUAACAAAUUUAAUGAUGGUCAGAAAUUAAACUCAAUCAUUUUGCAAACAACUCAAAAUCAUCAUGAAAAUUACAAGUUAGCAUUGUGCUGUGUGGCUACGGCACUAAAGAAUUUAGCCACCCCCUCUCUUCCCGUGGGUGUCGUAAGAGGCGACUAAGGGAUAACAACGUUCCACAACCACCUUGGAACUUAAGAAGCCGACCGAUGGCGGGAUAACCAUCCAAC
rnacentral:misc_RNA from 1 species